rnacentral:rRNA from 1 species
UUUUAUGGAGAGUUUGAUCCUGGCUCAGGAUGAACGCUGGCGGCGUGCCUAAUACAUGCAAGUCGAGCGAACGGACGAGAAGCUUGCUUCUCUGAUGUUAGCGGCGGACGGGUGAGUAACACGUGGAUAACCUACCUAUAAGACUGGGAUAACUUCGGGAAACCGGAGCUAAUACCGGAUAAUAUUUUGAACCGCAUGGUUCAAAAGUGAAAGACGGUCUUGCUGUCACUUAUAGAUGGAUCCGCGCUGCAUUAGCUAGUUGGCAAGGUAACGGCUUACCAAGGCAACGAUGCAUAGCCGACCUGAGAGGGUGAUCGGCCACACUGGAACUGAGACACGGUUCAGACUCCUACGGGAGGCAGCAGUAGGGAAUCUUCCGCAAUGGGCGAAAGCCUGACGGAGCAACGCCGCGUGAGUGAUGAAGGUCUUCGGAUCGUAAAACUCUGUUAUUAGGGAAGAACAUAUGUGUAAGUAACUGUGCACAUCUUGACGGUACCUAAUCAGAAAGCCACGGCUAACUACGUGCCAGCAGCCGCGGUAAUACGUAGGUGGCAAGCGUUAUCCGGAAUUAUUGGGCGUAAAGCGCGCAUAGGCGGUUUUUUAAGUCUGAUGUGAAAGCCCACGGCUCAACCGUGGAGGGUCAUUGGAAACUGGAAAACUUGAGUGCAGAAGAGGAAAGUGGAAUUCCAUGUGUAGCGGUGAAAUGCGCAGAGAUAUGGAGGAACACCAGUGGCGAAGGCGACUUUCUGGUCUGUAACUGACGCUGAUGUGCGAAAGCGUGGGGAUCAAACAGGAUUAGAUACCCUGGUAGUCCACGCCGUAAACGAUGAGUGCUAAGUGUUAGGGGGUUUCCGCCCCUUAGUGCUGCAGCUAACGCAUUAAGCACUCCGCCUGGGGAGUACGACCGCAAGGUUGAAACUCAAAGGAAUUGACGGGGACCCGCACAAGCGGUGGAGCAUGUGGUUUAAUUCGAAGCAACGCGAAGAACCUUACCAAAUCUUGACAUCCUUUGACAACUCUAGAGAUAGAGCUUUCCCCUUCGGGGGACAAAGUGACAGGUGGUGCAUGGUUGUCGUCAGCUCGUGUCGUGAGAUGUUGGGUUAAGUCCCGCAACGAGCGCAACCCUUAAGCUUAGUUGCCAUCAUUAAGUUGGGCACUCUAAGUUGACUGCCGGUGACAAACCGGAGGAAGGUGGGGAUGACGUCAAAUCAUCAUGCCCCUUAUGAUUUGGGCUACACACGUGCUACAAUGGACAAUACAAAGGGCAGCGAAACCGCGAGGUCAAGCAAAUCCCAUAAAGUUGUUCUCAGUUCGGAUUGUAGUCUGCAACUCGACUACAUGAAGCUGGAAUCGCUAGUAAUCGUAGAUCAGCAUGCUACGGUGAAUACGUUCCCGGGUCUUGUACACACCGCCCGUCACACCACGAGAGUUUGUAACACCCGAAGCCGGUGGAGUAACCUUUUAGGAGCUAGCCGUCGAAGGUGGGACAAAUGAUUGGGGUGAAGUCGUAACAAGGUAGCCGUAUCGGAAGGUGCGGCUGGAUCACCUCCUUUCU